AUGAUGAAGCGUGCCCUUCUGCCUGUCCUCAGAGAUGGAGAGAAAUACUGGGGUGCCACGAAGUCCACGUCCUCACACAGGGGCCCUGGAUCAUGGCCAGAUAUGAAGAGGAAAUCAAUCUCAUUUUUGGUUAAGAAACAUGCUACCUCUCCGAGUCCAGAAACUGAACUGUUUGGAGAAGACACGAUGAAGAUGCCUCCACAGACCAUAAGCUGUGCAUGAGAAGAUCAAGAAUAAACUUUGGGAAGGGUUAGUUCCUGUGAAGAGAAGUUCUGAUGAGAAUAAGAGGGAAGAAAGAUUUCCAAGCUCCAAGGAUGAAUUCAUUUUUAAUGUGAAAUGUCAGCAAGUGAGAAAGAUAUAGGAUGUGCCUAAAAGAAGGAAGAGACAGAGAGACCAUCCUCAAUAGAAUGGGGCUGUAUAGAACACAAAGGAAUAAAGAAGCGAAAGAAAAGAAAGAAAAGAAAAAA
rnacentral:lncRNA from 1 species